rnacentral:rRNA from 1 species
CAGUAGCCGCGGUAAUACGAAGGGUGCAAGCGUUAAUCGGAAUUACUGGGCGUAAAGCGUGCGUAGGCGGUUUGUUAAGUCUGUUGUGAAAUCCCCGGGCUCAACCUGGGAAUGGCAAUGGAUACUGGCAAGCUAGAGUGUGUCAGAGGAUGGUGGAAUUCCCGGUGUAGCGGUGAAAUGCGUAGAGAUCGGAAGGAACAUCUGUGGCGAAGGCGACUAUCUGGGCCAACACUGACACUGAGACACGAAAGCGUGGGGAGCAAACAGGAUUAGAUACCCCUGUAGUCCCUGUCUCUUAUAC